rnacentral:tRNA from 1 species
AUCGGAAUGGCAGAAUAUAUGCGUUAGAUUUAAAAUUUAAAGAUGAAGAUUAAUCUUCUUUCGAUA